UUUGAUCCUGGCUCAGAUUGAACGCUGGCGGCAGGCUUAACACAUGCAAGUCGAGCGGAGUGAUGGUGCUUGCACUAUCACUUAGCGGCGGACGGGUGAGUAAUGCUUAGGAAUCUGCCUAUUAGUGGGGGACAACAUUUCGAAAGGAAUGCUAAUACCGCAUACGUCCUACGGGAGAAAGCAGGGGAUCUUCGGACCUUGCGCUAAUAGAUGAGCCUAAGUCGGAUUAGCUAGUUGGUGGGGUAAAGGCCUACCAAGGCGACGAUCUGUAGCGGGUCUGAGAGGAUGAUCCGCCACACUGGGACUGAGACACGGCCCAGACUCCUACGGGAGGCAGCAGUGGGGAAUAUUGGACAAUGGGCGCAAGCCUGAUCCAGCCAUGCCGCGUGUGUGAAGAAGGCCUUAUGGUUGUAAAGCACUUUAAGCGAGGAGGAGGCUACUGAAGUUAAUACCUUCAGAUAGUGGACGUUACUCGCAGAAUAAGCACCGGCUAACUCUGUGCCAGCAGCCGCGGUAAUACAGAGGGUGCAAGCGUUAAUCGGAUUUACUGGGCGUAAAGCGCGCGUAGGCGGCUAAUUAAGUCAAAUGUGAAAUCCCCGAGCUUAACUUGGGAAUUGCAUUCGAUACUGGUUAGCUAGAGUGUGGGAGAGGAUGGUAGAAUUCCAGGUGUAGCGGUGAAAUGCGUAGAGAUCUGGAGGAAUACCGAUGGCGAAGGCAGCCAUCUGGCCUAACACUGACGCUGAGGUGCGAAAGCAUGGGGAGCAAACAGGAUUA
rnacentral:rRNA from 1 species